CUCUCCCCACCGCUCCCCCUAGCUGAACCUCUUCUCUCACUGCCGCUCCCCCUAGCCGAACGCCACUUCCGCCUCGCCUUGCUACUCCUCUCUCCCAUCCCCGAUUGGGUUUUAGCUCGGGGUGAAGGAACCAACAGGUGUCGCGAUGAUGAUCCUAUUUUUUACAGUGGUCACACCGUUCGACGCUGCUCGGUUCUCCCCUUGGCCGAGCCACGUCAUGGGCAGGGAGGCGUCGAGUGGAGCAGGCGCGAUUGUCGGCAGUUUCGAGUGAGGGAGAGGCGUUCAUAAGGCUUCGGCAAGUUUUUUCUCGCGGGAUGAUUGCGAUUGCGGCAUCUAUUUUUGGAAGCUCGGUCGACAGAAGGAUUUGCGAUCUCAAGCUUACGUAGCUUGAGUCCAAUCCUCCCAGUUAUGUGUAAACUAGAUCUUGUUCAGUCUUUUUUUGGAUUUCUUGUGAAUCUGUUGUCGGGGGUAGUUUUGAAGCUCUUCCUAUCUGACAUUAUUGCUGCUGGACUCCAAGAAUUUUUGUAAGAUUUUAAGAUUGCGGCAACUGCUGCAACAUGUGGGCAAGACAUUGAGGUGCCAGAGAUUAUGUUAUAGUUGGCUGCUCUUCCACCUGUGCCACCAGUUGCUACUGGAGACCAUGCUGCCAAAAUAUUCAGACCUGGUGCUGUAAUAUCGGGCUGCAAAGGAAUUUACAUGGUCACACAAAUUUACCAGUAAUUUUCCUUUCUUGUAUCUACCUGAAAUAGUCAUCUGAAAAAGAACAAAUAGAGAGAAAUAGGGUAGAACUUACUUUAAUAAUAUCUGGAGAUAUUAUAUUUGGUCCCUGAGAAGAAAACACAGCCAUUUUUGGUGCAGGCUUAGUGUUCAGGAUUGUUAUUGUUGGAGCUAUCCUCGCAAUUGGAUACCUGUCAAAAUUUAAAAGAUUUUUCUUCGUUAGUCUAAUUCUUGUCUUGUAUUGACGUAUUAUGUAAGCCGGAAAAAGCUUUAGAGCUCA